GACGAACGCUGGCGGCGUGCUUAACACAUGCAAGUCGAACGGAAAGGCCCUGCUUUUGUGGGGUGCUCGAGUGGCGAACGGGUGAGUAACACGUGAGUAACCUGCCCUUGACUUUGGGAUAACUUCAGGAAACUGGGGCUAAUACCGGAUAGGAGCUCCUGCUGCAUGGUGGGGGUUGGAAAGUUUCGGCGGUUGGGGAUGGACUCGCGGCUUAUCAGCUUGUUGGUGGGGUAGUGGCUUACCAAGGCUUUGACGGGUAGCCGGCCUGAGAGGGUGACCGGCAACAUUGGGACUGAGAUACGGCCCAGAAUGCUACGGGAGGCAGCAGGGGGGAAUAUUGCACAAUGGGCGGAAGCCUGAUGCAGCAACGCCGCGUGCGGGAUGACGGCCUUCGGGUUGUAAACCGCUUUCGCCUGUGACGAAGCGUGAGUGACGGUAAUGGGUAAAGAAGCACCGGCUAACUACGUG
rnacentral:rRNA from 1 species